CUGUGCUCCGCAAUGGGAGAGGUCACAACAGUGAGACGCCCGCGUACCGCAAAAAAAAAAAAGAAAGAUAGGGCCACUGGUGGAGGCAAUAAUAGGAUGUGUUAAGAAAAGCAGUUUAAGUUCUGCUUAUGCAUCCUCACUCCUAACUCCACCUUUGCCUUUGGACAGGGGUGGCAAACUGCCCUCGCACCAAAUCCACCCUGCUACCUGUUCUUAAGUUAUGUUAGACCUCAGCCAUACUUUCUCACUGCAAAGAUGGAGUUGAGUAGUGGAAACAGGCCUUAGGGUAAACCACAGCUCUCCCCUGUACUAUAGAAAUGGAGGCCACAGCCCAGACUACAGGCUCAGGUAUCCACAGCGGUAAUGUCAGGGCAGUAUAAAAUCCCUGAGAGGGAAUUUCCUGGUGGCUUAGUGAUUAGGAUUCCAUGCUUUCACUGCCGUUGCCCCAAAUUCAAUCCCUGGUUGGGGAACUGAGAUCCUGCAAGCCGCGCAGCGCAGAAAAAAUAUAAAAAAUCCCUGAGAAGUGAGGAGCUGAUGAAACUAGGUGGGGAAUAACCUGCCUGCCUUAGGCCUUUCACUCACUCUUUACCCUUUCAAAGCAUCAGUUAGUGGACUGUGAUCUAGGGAGACUGCCUCCUGCAAGAGCUGCUUCUUCCUAAACUGGGUUUAAAGGUAAGGCCUUGAAAUAAAGUUUGGUGAGAUGAUACUGAAUGGGAACAAUACAUGUGGUCUUGUGGUACCUAGAACUCUGUCCCAAGGUUUGUCCUUUCCCCAUCUUAAAACUUGACAUUCUGGUCUUUGACCCUUGCCCAGUAAACCAUCCCAGAGUUAUAACCCAUACCCCAGGAGAAUUUGGACUCAAGUCAGAGCAGUUGGAUACCUGAAAACUUCCUCAAAAGAAAAAGUGAAUACCAUUUGAAGCAGAACUACUUGAAAAGACAACCAAUAAUUUAAAGAUGGCAUGAUAAAUAUUGAAGAGGUAAAAUACUACCAGUAUGGAACAAGAAUCAUAAAAUGAAUAUAUUAAGUGAAAAAUAUAAUAGUUGAAAUAAAAAACACAGGUAAGUAGUAGACUGGAUUCUAUUCAUUGAAUUAGUGAGAACAUUCAAUUGAACUCUUUCAUUAGAAAGCAAAGAAACAGAAAAAUAAAGAUUAGGAGGAGAAUAGUAUAUAUAGCAACAUUCAGAAAUUCCAGGGAGAUGAAAAUCAGGAAAAUUAAAGUACUGAAAACAAAGAAUUUUGAAGAUAGUAUUUGUGACAGGCAUAUGUGUAUCUUCUGAAUGCAGUUUCUGAAAUGGUAUCUGCCUCCUGGUACUCAUACAUUUGCAUUAUCCUUUUCCCUUGAAUAUAGGCUGCACCUGGUGACUUUCAUCUAAGAAAUAGGACACAGCAAAAGUUACAUCACUUUGAAGAUGUGGUGGCAGCAAUUGGACUGAGGAAGGGCGCUUCUGAUGGCUUUAGGGACAUAAAGAAACACAGGCAUACCCACGAACCCUUUUGAGGUCUCCUUCUCGCCAUUUCUGAAGAUUGUGGUGAACAGCUGGAAGAUAAAAAAUUCAUGCUGCAACCAUCAGUGGAGAGAUUUUGAAGCAAACUGCACCUGGAGCAUCGAUUUGCUUCUUUCUUGCCCUGUUUGGUGGGGUGAGUGGAAAUAACCAUGGUAUCAUCAGGACCAUGAUAAAUGUAGCCCUAAGACCAUAGAUGCUCAGAGAAAAGAGCCCUUAACCCAGCUGUGGGAGGUUCUCUAUAAACUGGUCCAUCCACUACCACUCCUCACCAUGCAACUUGCUGUGACAUGAGACUGUUUCCUGAACUUCACAGUGCUCUCAAGACCAAAAUGUUUUUAGGCCUCUGUUCAUGCCAUUUCUUCCAUCUGUUCUUUCUCCUUUCUCUGUUUGACAAACUCCUACUCAUCCUUCAAGGCUCACCCUAAAUUUUCACUUCCUGUCCCAAAGCUUUCCUCAGCCCCCUUGGCACAGUUGGAUACCUCUUCCUCAGAGCUCCCACUGCACCAUGUUCCUAUCGAAGUUCACUAAAUUAUUGCUUUUUGUUUAUGUAUCCCUCUAAGUUGGUGUCUGGGAAUGUGGCUGAGGUGGAUACCUGAUAUUUUUGCCACCCAGCUCUCACCUAGUCAUCCUACUUCUGGGAACAGUGCCCUUAAUUUCUUUUGGGACACUACCCCACCCCUGCUCUAAGCUCUGUUAUUUUAGACCAUCUUUUCCAGAUCACAGUAGAUUCAGAGAUGGCCACAAGACCCAAUUCAGGCUAAUGUGCAACAGUUUGAAUAAAAGUUCAUGCCAGGACUUUUAUUCAUACUGUUGGAGGAAGAGAGGCUCUCUUGGCUAGACUUGAACCAAGGAGGGCAUUAGUCUAGAGCUGCUGAAUAUCACUGCAACCUCUGAGCCAGCCCAGUGGCUGUAAAGAUGGAAACAAAGCAAAGUCUAAGUGAUAAUAUUUGAGUCCCUGGACCAAGCAGUUUCUGGACUUCUCAGGUAUGUGGCCCAAUAUUUUCCCUUCUUGGGAUUAAAUCAGUUUGAGCAUGGGGGUUCCUGUUACUUGCAGCCUCAAAAGGCCUGAAGUAAGAUGGUUGUUUCCUUCCCUGGCCACCUUUGUCUCUAUGAGUCUAACUCAUUGAUUCAACUCUAGAAGGAUGGGAACCUACUGGAAAAGACCUCACCCAACACCACAGGGCUCUCAGAAAGCAGGCAGGGCAUAACCUGGAUCAUCCAUCAGCUCAGAUGACAGAGAUUCUGAUGCAGCCUCUCCUCUCAAGCCCUCAGGAACAGCCAACUUCAACCUGCCAGCUUAUGGGUGGGGAAAGCAAGAUACAGAAAUGUUAAGUGACUUGCCCUAAAUUGCUCAGCUAACAUACUGCCACCAAUUCUACCUGACCUCAGAAUCCACACUUUUGUCACUAUACCAGAGAAGGCGCUAGUAGGUGCUGAGUCAUAGAGGUGUUCCAGGGAAAUAGGGCCCCCCUGGGGGAACAAACAAAGCCAGAGUCAGGGCUAGAGCCAA